rnacentral:lncRNA from 1 species
ACACUCUUUGAAAGAAAGUCACUAUGUGCAGUUAUGGCCCAGUUCCUUGAGGUUGGAGUAUCUGAUUUUUCUGCACAGAGCAAGGCAAUUUACUUCUAUAGAAGGGUGCGCCCUCACAGAUGGAGCAAUGUUUAAGAGCAUACAGCAUCAUAUGAAAACAGCUCAGGAGCAUGACAAGCCGGACCCCGCGGUGCUCUAUUACUGUUGUUUCUAUGCAAUGCAAACCAGAAUGAAGACUGAUAGUAAAACUCCUGAGAGUUGUACAUUUUUAUCAAAGCUAAUGGAUCAGUUAGAAAUACUUAUGAAACAGUUGGGUGAUCAUGAAGCUAUUAGGCAAGAAAAUACUUAGUCCUGCCCAUUUGGAGAACUAUGCUUAGAAAAUGUUUUUAUACUCAGACAAUGAUCAUGCUGGGUGAUUUCACAAGAUGAUCAAGCCCUUUUUAUACUCCACAGUUUUAAAUAGAUGCCAUAAUAAUAUUAGGACAACUCACUGAUGAAAAUGUGAAACACAGAAAGUAUGUAAGAUGAAAAGCAAAAUAUAUUCAUAUUUGUUUAAAGAAUGGGGAGCUGCCUCAACUAGUAUCUGCUGGAAUUGAAGAAGAUAACAAUAUAACAAUAUUGCAGAAAAUGAAAAUGCUGAAGCAACCUAUCUGUCCACUGAGCCAUGUCAGCCACCAUCUUCAACUUAUGACCCAAGCCACAUGCCAUAAAGGAGCUAUAAUAGAAUACAGAUUCCUCCCAGUGCACACACUCCAGCUAAUACAUCAGUAGAAGUGCAUCACAAUGCAGAUGUAACAAAUCUAAUCUACUCCAAAGACAAUUCAGCAAUUGAGCCCACAUUUUUAGUAGUUUCUUAAAGUGAUAUCCAUCUAACACUAGAGGACUUUGUUAGUGAUCAGAAAUACAGCAAAUAAUAGGCUGGCAGUGCCUUGUCAUAUGAAGAUGUCAUUUAUCCUGUGAAUUAAAACUUCUGGAGAUAGAUAAUUAAAUGUAAAAAUAGAGAUUUUAAAUAUUGUUUUUAUUUUCUAACAUGCAUUUAAGGUAUAAAAUUUCCUCCAGACAUUAUUUUACCCCAAUCUCACAAGUUUCACGUGGCAUAUUGAAGAUAAUGAAUUAGCUCAGUUUUUAUUGGCUUGAAAGUGUCUUUCUUUAGCUUUUCUUAUGACCAGUAUUUUUUCUGGGUUAUUUUAUUUGUCUUUGCCUCUUUAGAAAUGUCAUUCCAUUUUCUUCUGGCCACGAUCAUUUUUGUUUAAAAGUCAACUGUCAGUGUUGUUUCUCCUUUGAAGGUAAAAUCAUCUUAAUCCAGUCAGAGAUUGAGUUGAUUAAAGACUGUGCUUCAGUUCUGUUGUUGUUUAUUUUUUAAGGCUUCUAUAUUUUUGUUUGUUCUUACUUAUAGAGUGUGGCCCUUUCCUUUCUUAUCUUUAUUUUCUUUCUUCCUUCCAAUUGUUUAUCUUUUAGAAGCUUUUUAUUCUUACCUGUGAUUUUAAUUUUAUUUAUCUUUUUACACAGGACAUAGAGCUUCUUUUAUCUGUGGCUUAAUGUUUUUUAGCUUGGAAAAGUUGUGGUCACUAUAUUUUCAAAUAUUGUUUUCAUUUUUCUGAAUAUGAAUUACACAUAUGUUAAAAAUAAUUAUGUUUUACUUGGUCCUGAUGCACAGUUCUGUAUUUGUACCCUUUUUACUCCCUCUGAGUUAGUUUGGAUUUUUCCAACUGCUCUAUCUAAUUAGAAUGCUGUUAAACAUUUUAUUGAUUUCUUAACUUCAUUUAUGAUGUUUUUCAGUUCUAGUAUUCCUAUUUAAUUCUUCUUUGUGGAUUAUACUUUUCAGGUAUAACUUUCCACCUUGUCUUCUAUUUUUAAAAUACUUGAAUCAUAGCUUUCAUGGUACCUUUAUCAUUUUAGCCAUUAAUGCAUUGAUACCAGAUUUGCACAGUGUCUAAUAUCCUAGUAUCUGAAUAGCCUGUAGAUCAAUUUUAAUUUUAUCGUGUUUUUUUUUAACAUCUUGAUUUUCAGCUAUUUGGUUUUAUCUCUUAGCACAGCUUGUGUGUUUUAAAAUAAAAUUUUGGACAUUUUGCAUAAAGAAAGCAAUUUAGCCUUUGAAUGAUGCCAAUCUUAUUUCGAGGAGAUUUAGGUUUCUUUGGAAAACAGUUACAUUGAUUAAAAAAAUCACCUUAAUUCAGUCAGAGAUUGAGUUGAUUAAAGACUGUGCUUCAGUUUGGUUGUUGUUUAUUUUUUAAGGUUUCUCUAUUUUUGUUUUUUCUUACUUAUAGAGUGUUGUCCUUAGCAUACCAAUCAAUUGAAAGUCUGGGUUUGAUUACCAGUGCCUAUUUUCUUUGAAAAACAAUAAGCUCCAAUUUUGUCUCUUCAUCCAUUUGGGACUACUGAAGUCCCUGAUUUAUUUUUUAGACAUUUACACGUCAAUUUCUGCUUAAGUUCUCAGUAUCUUAUGCACACUUUAGGGAUCAGUAGAAUGCCUUGAGGGAAAACAAAAUGCACAAAAUAUCAGACUUAUACUUCUACACAUUACUUUGUUUUGGAUCUUGACUUUUAAUGUGAUGGCUGCCAUGGUAACCCUAAACUCCAAGUUUUGCCUACUCAGCCUUAUGAGACUGCACAAAUCACUGAGCUGCAGUUUUCUGCUUGGUUGAAAAUGCUUGGAUGGGAAAGUGUCAGAUAAUUUGGGACUUGCCAUGAUGUAUUUCCCUUCUUCCUGGGGUCCUGGCCACUUAAAUAUCAUUGUUUCUUUUCACUGCCUUAAAACAGCUUAUUUAUUGUUUGUUGUUGUUGGUUGUGGUCUUGUGAGUGUUGUAUGCAUGUUUUCUAGCUUUCAAUUUUUUUUCUUGGUGGAAACAUUGACCUAAUAUAAGCUAGUUUUUUUAUAGCUGUACCUACGCAAACAAAAUAGAUAUAAACCCCCAUCCUACCUGUCACAAAAUGUAUUCCUAAUUUUUAGGGCUUCUUUUUUCCAUAAUUUUUGGGGGUCUUAUGGGUUAUCCAAAUCGUCAGUCUUAGUUACUCUCAUUUCAGAUAAAGAAGGAAAUCCUUCAGAGAGCUGUGAAGAUAAUUCUUGUUAUCAUGCUUACAGAAUUGUAUUUGAAGUCCUGAGUUCGAUGCUAUAUGUUCUUUACCAUAUGCCCUACCACCAGUAAUAAACAAAAUAUACUUCAGUUUUUAUUGGCUAAAAUACAAUGUGCAGAAUUAUUCUAUUUCUAGUAUACUAGUUAAAAGAAUGUAACAAAUUCUAAGAAAUAGAAUGUCAAAAAAAAAAAAGAAAGAAUAAGGAUGCCAUAUGUAAGUGUGGCAUACAUGCUUUACUCAGUACUAACAUAGGAGGGAUUGGUCAAGGAAGCUUAGAGGACAUCUGAGGAUUAGCCCUAAGUCUUCUCUGAAAGUGUUUCUGGAAAUAAAUUCUUAGUUUAUGCAGGUACAAUCUUGUGGUGGAUCAUCCACUUCCCCUUGAUGUAGUCUAUUCUACUUCCUGAAAUCUCUAGUUAUUAGAAAAAUAUUGACUUUAAAUUGAAAAAAAAUUUUCUCUUUGGUCUGAGAACUGUCCCUUGAGACUACAUGGAUCAGGUCUAAAUGUUCUUUAUCUGAUAUUCUGUAGAUAUUUUAAGACGGCUAUCACAUUCCCUAUAUGUUUAUCUCCACAAGACACACAGUUCUGAUUUCAGAACUGGCACAGUGUCAGACUUUUCAUCCUCAGGUUUAUUCUCUUCUGGAAAUGUUUCAGCUUAAAUGUGCCCUUCUUGUUACUGUGUCCAGAAUUGUACUUUAUAUUCAGGUAUGGAAGGAACAGCCCAGAGUGCCACACUCCGCACAUUUUUUAAGGAAUAUUCUCUAUAUGAUGCUAUUCAUUCAAAUUAGGUUGUAAUUAGCAUCUGGCUAUUACACUACCACCAAAUCCUCCUAUCAGCUUAAGAAAAUUAAAUAGAUGUUUCCAUUAAAAUACUAUGUCCUUAUACUGUCUCUUCAUAUUUUUAAAAUCACAUUAUCCCUAUUAAAUGUCACCUUCCAAUAAUUAGUUUAUUAUUCCUGUCCACUAAGGUAUUUUCAGGGCUUCAGUUUCUCAUAAGCAUUUUAAAUAGCCAAGAAAUCUCAUUACCUUUUUAAAACUUCCUAAUAAACAUGUUUUUGUCAUUGGUAUUAUUACAAGUUGCUAUGUGAUGUUAAUGCAAAUGAUUCAAAAGUGAUCUUUGCUUUUGCUCUUCCUGUCUCCCUUUAGAACUCAGUUUUUUGUUGUUACUGGAUUUUUUUUUACAAACUUAAUAAAAAUGACUGGUUGUAAUAACUUUAUAUACACAUAGAAUAAACCUACUUUAGAAAUUUGCACUGGUGUUAAAAUGAAAACAAAGUCAUCUUUUAAUAAUAUCCAUAGUUCAUAUGAUUCAUUGAAAUUAUUAGUAUUCGUUUCAACAUCUAUAAUAUAAAAAUGCUAAUCAUUGUAUUAGGACAUUUAUGUGAUAGGAAAAUAAACUUGUUUUAUUUAAAUCAUUAUUAUUUUUAGUCUCUAUUAUUCACAGCUAAACCUAAUCGGUAGGCAGAUAUAGGAGAUGGUAGGCAGAAAUAAUGACCCUCCAAAGGUAUCCACACUCUAAUUCCCAGAACCUGUAAAUUAUGUUACCUUACAUGGCAAAAGAAAAUUAAGACUGCACAUGCAAUAAAUGUUUCUAAUGGGCUAAACUUGAGAUUGGCAGAUUAUGCUGAAUUACCAAGUGGGUCCAAUCUGAUCACGUUAAUUUAAAAGUGGAAAAAGAGGAGGGCAGAAGAGUAGUUCAGAGAGAUAUGACAUAAGGACUUAGUCAAAUGUUCCUGGCUUUGCAGAGGAAGGAAAGGCCAUGAGCCAAGAAAUAAGGGCAGCCUAUAGAAGCUGGAAAAGGCAAGAAAAAAACUCUCCCAUAGAGCCUUCUGAAAGGAACCCUGCCCUGCAAAUAACUUGAUCUUAGCCUGGCAGGAUCUCUGUUGAACUUCUGACCUCCAAUACUGUAAGACAAUAAAUUCAUUUGUGGGUUUUGGGGGAUGGUGAGUUUAAGCCAGUAAAUUUAUGGUACUCUGUAUUGCCAAAUAGGAAAUACAUAUAUAUUCUUAAGCAAAAUAGCACAAAAUCCAAUGUGAGUGUGUGAUGAGAAAUAACUGUAAAAAUGAACCCCAGAUAUGAAGAAGCCAAGUAGGCAUGCAACUUUCUUUGAAUGGCACCUUUACAAAUGUCAACAAAACGUUAAUUAUAUGUAAGACAAAAAUGGGCUUGGCUCUUUCUGAUAGUUCUCUAAGCUGUAUACCAGAAAAUAAGAGCAGAAACUUUAAUUCUGUUAGAAUUCAAUAUGUAUCCUGCACAUGGUUUGACUGUCACUAAUGCCUGACACAUCCAAAUAAAAUAUCAAUUAUAUUACAAAAAUCUUCACCAGGCAUGGUAGAUAAUGCCUGUAAUCACAGCACCUUGGGAGGCUGAGACAGAAGGAUUGCUUGAGUGAGUCCAGGAGUUUGAGACCAGUCUAGGCAACAUAGUGAGACCCUGCCUCAUAAAUUUUUUUUUUAAAAAUUACAAAAAUCUUAAAAAAUUAAUAUAAGCCUUACUGAAGGUUUUUUUUUAAUUUUUACUUAAUUUUUUAAAGGACAGUGAAGUAGAUGCCUAACAAACAUCAUAUGCUACUCUUCAUUCUCCUCCUCCUUCUCUUACCAUGCUGCUCAGGCCCAGGCUACCAAAGGCUAAAUUGAUCCUCUUUUUAUAGUCCCUGAAGAGAAAUCGUGUUGAUUUUCCAUUUUAACUUACUGAUUGUAUUAGUCUGUUCUCAUGCUGCUAAUAAAGAUAUAACUGAGACUGAGUAACAUAUAAAGAAAAGAGGUUUAAUUGACUCAGUUCAGCAUGGGUAGGGAGGCCUCAGGAAGCUUACAAUCAUGGCAGAAAGCAAAGGGGAUGCAAGGCACCUUCUUCACAAGGAGGCAAGAAGGAGAAGUGCUGAGCAAAGGGGGGAAAAGCCCCUUAUAAAACCAUCAGACCUUGUGAGAACUCACUAUCACAAGAACAGCAUGAGGAUAACUGCACCAUGAUUCAAUUACCUCUCACCACCCCAAGGAUUAUGUGAACUACAAUUCAACAUGAGAUUUGGGUGGGGACACAGGCAAACCAUAUCAUUCUUCCCUUAGCCCCUCCCAGAUCUCAUGUCCUCACAUUUCAAAACAAAAUCAUGCCCUUCUAACAGUCCCCCAAAGCCUUAACUCAUUCCAGCAUUAACCCAAAAGUCCAAGUCCAAAGAUACAUCUGAGACAAGGCAACUUCCUCCCACCUAUGAGCCUGUAAAAUCAAAAGCAAGUUAGUUACUUCCUACAUACAAUGGGGGUACAGGCAUUGGGCAAAGAUACCCAUUCCAAAUGGGAGUAAUUGCCCAAAACAAAGUGGCUACAGGCCCCAUGCAAGUCUAAAAUCCAAUAGCGUAGUCAUUAAACCUUAAAGUUCCAGAAUGAUCCCCUUUGACUCCGUGUCUCACAUCUAGGUGAGGCUGAUGCAAGAGGUAGGUUCCUAUGGAUUUGGGUAGCUCCACCCCUGUGCUUUUACAGGGUACACACCCUCUCCUGGCUGGUGUCACAGGCUGGCAUUGAGUCUGUGGCUUUUACAGGUGCACAGUGCAAACUGUUGGUGGAUCUACCAUUCUGAGGCCUGGAGCAUGGUGGCCCUCUUCUCAUGGCUUCAUUACACAGUGCCUCAGUGGGGACCCAGUGUGGGGCCUCUGACCCCACUUUUCCUAUCUGUAUUGAUCUAGCAGAGAUGCUCCAUGAGGGCUCCACCUCAGCACAUACUUCUACCUGGACAUCCAGGCAUUUCCAUACAUCCUCUGAAAUCUAGGCAGAGGUUCCCAAAUCUCAGUUCUUGACCUCUGUGCCCCCUCGGGCCCAACACCACAUGUAAGCCACCAAGGUUAGGGACUUGCAUCCUCUGAAGCAACAGCCUGAGCUGUAUGUUGGCCUCUUUUAGCCACAGCUGAGAUGCAGGGCACAAAACAGCAAGGCCUUGUGCUUGGCUCACAAAACAAUUUUUUCCUCCUAGUUCUCUAGGCCUAUAAGGGGAGGGGCUUCCGCGAAGGUCUCAGACAUGUCCAGAGACAUUUUCUCCAUUGUCUUGGUGAUUAACAUUUGGCUGCUCAUUACUUAUGCAAGUUUCUGCAGUGGGCUUGAAUUUCUCCCUAAAAACUGGGCUUUUCUUUUCUAUUGCCUCAUCAGGUUGCAAGUUUUCCAAACUUUUAUGUUCUGCUUCCUCUUGAAUGAUUUCCCACUUAGAAAUUUCUUCUGCCAGAUACCCUAAAUUAUCUCUCUCAAGUUCAAAAUUCCACAGAUCUCUAGGGCAGGGCAAAAUUCCACCAGUCUCUUUGCUAAAGCAUAACAAAAGUCAUCUUUGCUCCAGUUUCCAAGAAGUUCCUCAUGUCCAUCUUAGACCACCUCAGCCUGGACUUCAUUGUCCACAUCGCUAUCAGCAUUUUGGUCAAAGCCAUUCAACAAGUCUAGGAAGUUCCAAAUGUCCCCACAUUUUCCUGUCUUCCUCUAAGCCCUCCAAACUUUUCCAAUGUCUCUCCCUGUUACCCAGUUCUAAAGUUGCUUCCAUAUUUUUGUGUAUCUUUAAAGCAGCACUGUACUACCCAGUGUCAAUCUACUGUAUUAGUCUGUUCUCACCCUCCGAAUAAAGACAUACCUGAGAAUGAGUAUAUUAUAAAGGAAAGAGAUUUAAUUGACUCACAGUUCCCUAGGCCUGGGGAGGCCUCAGGAAACUUACAAUCAUGGCAGAAGGCAAAGGGGAAGCAAGGCACCUUCUUCACAUGUGACAAGAAGGAGAAGUGCUGAGCAAAGUGGCAAAAACCCCUUAUAAAGCCAUCAGAUGUUGUGAGAACUCACUAACUAUCAUGACAACAUCAUGGGGGUAACUAACUGCCCCCAUGAUUCAAUUACCUCUCACUGGGUCCCUCCCACAGCAUGUGGGGAUUAUGGGAACUACAAUUCAAGAUGAAAUUUGGAUGGGUACGCAGCCAAACCAUACCACUGAUUUUUCAUUUUCUCUUCUUGCUCAUUAUGUAUUGGCCUGAGAAUGCUAGAACACCUUAAAUGUGAGACAAUAAUGAUGUAAGCUGCUUCACUUAUUUUUGUAAGGAUUUUGCUAGAAACAAAAUAAUGUUGCUGAUAUCAUGCAAAGUUGAUAAUGUAGUUAAGAGCAAUCAGAAGUGUUUGUGCUACCCAGAUGGUCAGGUAAGUUCUAACUGCAGAUCCUUACUGCUGAUGAUAGAAGUGAGAAAGAACACAGUGUGACUCUUAGAAUUCAGGUUCAGUAUACCACCUGAGUUUGAGAAAAGGCAACUUUCUAUUUGUAAACACAGAAAAGCCAUUGACAGAGAA